AGCUUAGAUCCGGUGAAAAUUAACUCUGGGGAUCCGUUCCGUGAUUUCGUUGACUAUCCGGGUCGAUUUUUCGAGUCAGAGACGUGGAAAUUACUGCCCGCCGACUGCUUGGGCCUCAAGACAAUAGCCGUCGCCGCCGCCGCGGCCUAUAAGGCGGCGACCAUGGCGAGCCAUCCGGCAUCGCUGAAACCAGGCUGGCCGCCAUGGACGGAGGGGAGCUCAAGCUCUACGGCAUGUGGGGGAGCCCCUUCGUGCUGCGAGUCCGGCUCGCCCUCAAGCUCAAGGGCCUGGACUACGAGUACGUGGAGGAGGACCUGUCCAACAAGAGCGCCGCCCUCCUCCGCCUCAACCCUGUGCACAAGAAGGUCCCCGUCCUCCUCCACGGCGGCCGCCCCAUCGCCGAAUCGGCCGUCAUCCUCGAGUACAUCGACGAGACGUGGCCCCAGAGGUUCCCCCUGAUGCCCGCCGAUCCCCGCGAGAGGGCCGCCGUGCGCUUUUGGUGCCACUUCACCAGCGAAAAGGUCAGCCGGAACUCUGCCGGGGGAUCGCGCCUCACCAUUACCCGUCCUUGCUCCUCACCUCUCGCUGCUCCUACAGAUGUUUCCCUCGAUUGCGGCGAUCUUCCACUCCACCGGCGAGGCGCAGAGUGUGGCCAUCGCCGAAGCGCGGGAGAAUAUGAAGCAGCUUGAAGAUGAGCUCCGAGAGGGCUUCUUCCGAGGGAGGAGAUUCUUCGGUGGUGAGAAGCUGGGCUUCCUGGAUAUCGUCCUCGGCUGCGAUGUGCACUUGUUCCGCGUCGUCGCAGAGGUGACCGAAGCCGACCUCGACAAGGACUUCCCCACCUUCGCCCAGUGGUUUCAGGACUUCCAAGCCCAGCCUGAGGCCCAGGAAGUGCUUCCCCCUUUCGACAAGCUGGUCGACUUCCUCCACGCCCACCGCCGGAAGGUACUGGGUCAAGCUUAGGAAGACGACUUUCUGUAAACUCUCCAGUCAGCUCGUGCAAUAAGGAGAGGGGAGAGGGGAGAGGAGAGAGGAGAGAGAGAGAGAAAGAAUUAUGUUACGUAUGAAUCGAUUUCAAUUAAUAUAUUAAAUAAUAAAUUAUCAGUAGUCUAAAGAGUUUAAUGACUAAUUUACCCCAAAAUUAUGGCAGAACAGCCACAUAACUCAUAAUCAUUAGUUUGUUGUUAUAAAUUUAAGAUUAGAUGGUGUGAAAAAAAAAGUCCAGAGUGAUCCAUUAAUAAUAAUAUUUUAAAAUUGGCGUGUUUAGUCCGGUUCCCUACGAUUUCGGAGAACCGGUUCGGAUUGAGAAAACCGCCCCCGGAUCGGGAUAGUGCGACCGGCGGUCCGGUGACUGGUCGUAUUAGAUCAGCGAAAUCCAUUCCAUUUCUUCUCCCCCUGAAUCUUCUCCCCUUGCGUUUCGGCAGACGCAGUGGUGCUGGAGUUCAACCAGUACACGGAGGGCUCGUGGUGGAGAAGAGAGAUCCUCAGUCGGAAGGAUCACCGGGAAGACGGGAGCGAGGCGGAGGGCUUCUACGGCGGGGUCAGGAAGCUCCGCCGAGACGACGAGAUCGCCGCCUGGAGGCGGCGCUGGCCGACCGGCGUGUUGGACUGAUUGGCCCUCGGCAUCCUCUUCUGUUUUCUUUGCUCUUUUGGGCUGACCUCAUCGAAGACAGCAGCUUCGGCCGUAGGUUUUCAUGGAAAAGCCCGCAGCUUUCGUCCGUAAAAAUUCCUCUAAUAUAUUAUAUCACACCUCCGUACAAGGAGUCCGAUGAACAGGCACGCAGAACUCAUCCGCCGAUUGAAUUUCGCUAGAUUAGAUUGAAGCCCAGAAGCGGGUUUUUAAGAAUGUGCAUUCCAUUUUGAGGAAUUUUCUUGAUUUAGAGGUGUUUUUUACGAGCUUAGAUCUGGCAAAAAAUUAACUCCGGAAUCCGUUCCUUGAUUUCGUCAACUUUUGCGGCACCGGGGUCUACCUCAGACUACUCUGCAACUAUGGGUUCGAUUAUCCAGUCAGAGACGCGGAAAUUACUCCUCGUCGACUGCUUGGGCCUCAAGACAGGAGCCACCGCCGCCACCUAUAAGGCGGCGACCAUGGCGAGCCAUCCGGCAUCGCUGAAACCAGGCUGGCCGCCAUGGACGGAGGGGAGCUCAAGCUCUACGGCAUGUGGGCGAGCCCCUACGUGCUGCGAGUCCGGCUCGCCCUCAAGCUCAAGGGCCUGGACUACGAGUACGUGGAGGAGGACCUAUCCAACAAGAGCGCCGCCCUCCUCCGCCUCAACCCUGUGCACAAGAAGGUCCCCGUCCUCCUCCACGGCGGCCGCCCCAUCGCCGAAUCGGCCGUCAUCCUCGAGUACAUCGACGAGACGUGGCCCCAGAGAUUCCCGCUGAUGCCCGCCGAUCCCCGCGAGAGGGCCGCCGUGCGCUUCUGGUCCCACUUCGCCGUCAACAAGGUCGGCCAGAACUCCGGGGAGAUAUCCAUCCCCACUCCUCAGCCAUUCCUUUUGUCAAUUCUCCUUGCUCUUGCAGUUGGGUCCCUCGGUGACGGCGAUCUUCCGCUCCACCGGCGAGGGGCAGAGGGCGGCCGUCGCCGAAGCGCGGGAGAAUAUGAAGCUGCUGGACGAUGAGCUCUCGGAGGGGCUCUUCCGGGGGAGGAAGUUCUUCGGCGGGGAGAAGCUGGGCUUCCUGGACAUCGUUCUCGGCUGCGGGUCGCACUGGCUCCGCGGCGUUGAAGAGGUGGCCGGAGAGGACAUCGGCGAGGACUUCCCCUCAUUCACCCGCUGGCUUCGAGAGUUCGAAGCUCAGCCGGAGGUCCAGGAACUGCUUCCCCCUUCCGACAGGCUGCUCGACUACGUCCGCGGCGUCCGCCAAUUGCUACUGAAUCAGUCUUAGGAAGACGACUUCUGCCUGCUCUCCAGUCAGCCCAUGGAAUAAGGAGAGAAGAGCGAGAGCGAGAGAGAGAGAGAGAGAGAGAGGAUCGUGUUUCCAGGGACUGGUAUAAAUCAAUCUUUAGUAUUAACUAAUCUAGUAUUAGGCGUUCCGUCUCGGUCGAGUAAAGAGCUUAAUGACUACUUCACUAUUAUAAUUCUCAGAUCGGAUCAUGAAGAAAAUAAAGUCGGCGCUAUAAGGAGAGAAGACAUCGCUGUGUUACCCGGGACUGGUAUAAAACUAUUUUAAAUGAAUGCAUUAAGUAAUUAUAUCUACCGCGUAAAUAACUUAAUGACCACUUUACCUAUAAAACCGCAAGGAAUUAGCUUAAGAUAGAUCCUUCUUGGUGCCACCUGACGAGAAUCGAAAUUGCCCUCUGUCCCUGAACUCUCCAUCCGAUGGAGUUUUCAUGAUUUCUCACUAUCCGUGGGUGGCUAGUAAUACGGCGUUGUAAGUCACCCAUGCUCCUACGACGGAAACAAGCUCCAGUAUCACUGUUAAGAUUAAAAAUUUAGGGUUUAAGGUUUAAAAUUUAGGGUUGGUGAAGUACUAAUUCUUCAAUAUGCAAAACCCAUCCGGGCCAUCAGUAACAUCAGGAAGAUGUGAACGAGGCGGAGAGCUUCUACGGCAGGGCCAGGGAGCUCCGCCGCGACGACGAGAUCAUCCCAAGCAGUCCGCCGCUUCCCUCUUCUUCUCCUCCCCUCGUUCUGAGUUCGCUGUGCGAUCGGUUGGCGGGAGGAUGACGCCUGGAGUGUCACCGUCCUGCGUGGAGUCGUGGGCUUCGUGGGGUGACGAUAAGAGGGGGACGUCGUUAUCGUGCUGAAUAAGUGCAAGUGUGGAGCGAUAGAUAUCCUGACUGCUUCGGUAGUGCUAUGGAAGUCGUGGACGACGUGGGCGACGUGCAGACGUGCAGCUUCGGCCGUAGGCUUCCGUGGAAAAAGCCGCAGCUUUCGAGUGUAAAGAUCCCUGUAAUGAUAUUAUAUCACACCUCCGCACGACGAGCCCGGUGAGUGAAUUUCGUGAGAUUAAUUAUUUUUAUUCCCGUUCAAAUAUGAUCCCAGAAGCGGGUUUUUAAGGAUGUUCGUUCCCUUUUGAGGAAUUUUCUUGAUUUCGAGGUGUUUUCUACGAGCUUAGAUCCGGCGAAAAUUAACUCUGGGGAUCCGUUCCGUGAUUUCGUUGCCCAUCGACUGCUUGGGCCUCAAGAUAACAGCCGUCGCCGCCGCCGCGGCCUAUAAGGCGGCGACCAUGGCGAGCCAUCCGGCGUCGCUGAAACCAGGCUGGCCGCCAUGGAUGGAGGGGAGCUCAAGCUCUACGGCUUGUGGGCAAGCCCCUUCGUGCAGCGAGUCCGACUCGCCCUCAAGCUCAAGGGCCUGGACUACGAGUACGUGGAGGAGGACCUGUCCAACAAGAGCGCCGCCCUCCUCCGCCUCAACCCUGUGCACAAGAAGGUCCCCGUCCUCCUCCACGGCGGCCGCCCCAUCGCCGAAUCGGCCGUCAUCCUCGAGUACAUCGACGAAACGUGGCCCCAAAGGUUCCCCCUGAUGCCC
rnacentral:lncRNA from 1 species